UACGUAGGGUGCGAGCGUUAAUCGGAAUUACUGGGCGUAAAGCGUGCGCAGGCGGCUUUGCAAGACAGAUGUGAAAUCCCCGGGCUCAACCUGGGAACUGCAUUUGUGACUGCAAGGCUCGAGUACGGCAGAGGGGGAUGGAAUUCCGCGUGUAGCAGUGAAAUGCGUAGAUAUGCGGAGGAACACCAAUGGCGAAGGCAAUCCCCUGGGCCUGUACUGACGCUCAUGCACGAAAGCGUGGGGAGCAAACAGG
rnacentral:rRNA from 1 species